AGUGAACGCUGGCGGUAGGCCUAACACAUGCAAGUCGAACGGCAGCACAGUAAGAUCUUGCUCUUACUGGUGGCGAGUGGCGGACGAGUGAGGAAUACAUCGGAAUCUACUUUUUCGUGGGGGAUAACGUAGGGAAACUUACGCUAAUACCGCAUACGACCUACGGGUGAAAGCAGGGGAUCUUCGGACCUUGCGCGAUUGAUUGAGCCGAUGUCGGAUUAGCUAGUUGGCGGGGUAAAGGCACACCAAGGCGACGAUCCGUAGCUGAGCUGAGAGGAUGAUCAGCCACACUGGAACUGAGACACGGUCCAGACUCCUACGGGAGGCAGCAGUGGGGAAUAUUGGACAAUGGGCGCAAGCCUGAUCCAGCCAUACCGCGUGGGUGAAGAAGGCCUUCGGGUUGUAAAGCCCUUUUGUUAGGAAAGAAAAGCAGCAGGUUAAUACGCCGCUGUUCUGACGGUACCCAAAGAGUAAGCACCGGCUAACUUCGUG
rnacentral:rRNA from 1 species